UACGUAGGGGGCUAGCGUUGUCCGGAUUUAUUGGGCGUAAAGAGCGUGUAGGCGGCCAGGUAGGUCUGCUGUGAAAACUCGAGGCUCAACCUCGAGCUGUCGGCGGAAACCAUCUGGCUAGAGUCCGGAAGAGGAGAGUGGAAUUCCCGGUGUAGCGGUGAAAUGCGCAGAUAUCGGGAAGAACACCCGUGGCUAAGGCGGCUCUCUAGUACGGUACUGACGCUGAGACGCGAAAGCGUGGGGAGCGAACAGG
rnacentral:rRNA from 1 species